rfam:Morus notabilis contig21014, whole genome shotgun sequence.
AGUCUCUGAUGAAGAUCAAAUUCAGUGCAUCUUGGCUGGUUUGGGGGCAGAAUAUGACCCUGUUAUGGUGACCAUUACAUCGAGAGCUGAACCUUAUACUGUCAAGGAUGCUGGAGCUCUACUAAUGAGUUCUGAGA